rnacentral:lncRNA from 1 species
AUACAACAACAACAACAACAACCAAGCCUUUCAGUCCCAAACAAGUUGGGGUAGGCUAGAGUUGAAACCCAUAAGAUCUCGAAACCAAGUCAUGGCUCUGGAACGUGGAUAGCUAACUUCCACGCACCCCUGUCCAUGGCUAAGUCUUUGUCGAUAUUCCAAACCUUCAUGUCUCUCUUAACGGACUCCUCCCAUGUCA